UGAAACAGUCUCUGGAAUCCA
rnacentral:misc_RNA from 1 species